ensembl:lncRNA
GGAGGGUCAGGGUUUAAACUGAAUGACAGACCAAAAAGAAACAAGCCCUAGGGGAGACCUCACUCUCUUAGACUGGUGAUUACUUCCAGAGCUCAAACUGCAGUGGUUCUAGAUAAGGGGUUCAGAGGGAAAGCCACAAAGAGAGACAAAGGCGGCGUCGAUGGAGAAAUAGAGUGAGCCGGUGUUUGAUGGGCACUUUUCAAACUCCUGGGGUGGAGCCCUGCACUUCAGCCAAUAACAGACAGGUAUGACUCGGGUGCAAAACCAAUCAAAACUUCAAGGUCAGCUGCGGGGGUGGGGUGUUCAAACCGCACUAUGCUUUGACUGUCAAUCACUGGCAUUGUCGUUUUGAAUCAGCAUCAUUAGAGUUUCAGUUUUUUUU